rnacentral:rRNA from 1 species
UGAACGCUGGCGGCGUGCCUAAUACAUGCAAGUCGUACGAGGGAAGUCCAGCUUGCUGGACGGAACGAGUGGCGAACGGGUGAGUAAUACGUAAGCAACCUGCCUGCAAGGACUGGGAUAACACCUGGAAACGGGCGCUAAUACCGGAUAGGUAACAAAGGGGCAUCCCUAUGUUAUUAAAGGUUAGAAACACAAGCAGAUGGGCUUACGGUGCAUUAGCUAGUUGGUGAGGUAACGGCCCACCAAGGCGAUGAUGCGUAGCCGGCCUGAGAGGGUGAACGGCCACAUUGGGACUGAGACACGGCCCAGACUCCUACGGGAGGCAGCAGUAGGGAAUUUUCGGCAAUGGACGAAAGUCUGACCGAGCAACGCCGCGUGAGUGAAGAAGGUUUUCGGAUUGUAAAGCUCUGUUGUAAGGGAAGAACAGCACGGAAAGAAUCCGUGAAUGACGGUACCUUACCAGAAAGCCACGGCUAACUACGUGCCAGCAGCCGC